rnacentral:rRNA from 1 species
AAGUGAAGCAGAGGACAGUGGCGGACGGGUGAGUAACGCGUGAGGAACCUGCCUUCAGGAUGGGGGACAACAGACGGAAACGACUGCUAAUACCGAAUAAGUUCCAAGAGCCGCAUGGCCCAUGGAAGAAAAGGUGGCCUCUACCUGUAAGCUAUCGCCUGAAGAGGGGUUUGCGUCUGAUUAGCUGGUUGGAGGGGUAACGGCCCACCAAGGCGACGAUCAGUAGCCGACCUGAGAGGGUGACCGGCCACAUUGGGACUGAGACACGGCCCAGACUCC